UUAUCACCGUAAAUCCAAGGGUUUCUAUGUUAAGAUGUAUUUCAUAGAGUGAAACGGCCCCUAAGAAAGAUUUGACGAAAGCAAAUUUUGAUGGGAUAAUUUUUAAAUUAAAUUUUUUAAAAAAAGUGACAAAAAGUUUAACUUUUUCAGGAAACAGCUUUUUUAAUAAAUAAACCGUACCCUAAACCGACACAGGUGGAUAGGUCGAGUAGACUAAGGUGAAUGAGAGAACUAUAUUGAAGGAACUCGGCAAAAUGACUCUGUAACUUCGGGAGAAAGAGUGCCUCAUAAAUGAGGUGGCACAGAAUAGGGGGUUGCGACUGUUUAAUAAAAACUUAGGACUCUGCUAAAUGGUAACAUGAUGUAUAGGGUCUGACACCUGCCCGGUGCUGGAAGAUUAAUAGGAGAUGUUUACGCAUUGAAUGGAAGUCCCAGUAAACGGCGGCCGUAACUCUGACGGUCCUAAGGUAGCGAAAUUCCUUGUCGGGUAAGUUCCGACCUGCAUGAAUGGUGUAACGACAUCCCCGCUGUCUCCAAUAUAGACUCAGUGAAUUUGAAUUAUCCGUGAAGAUGCGGAUUCUCUAUAGUUAGACGGAAAGACCCCGUGAACCUUUACUACAUCUUUAUAUUGUUAUUUUAUCUAAUAUGUGUAGCAUAAGUGGGAAUCUAUGAGACCUUCACGCUAGUGAAUUGUUUAGAUAACAUUGAAAUACCACUCUUAUUAAAAUAAAUAACUAAUAUUUUUAAAAAUAGACAGUGUAUGGUUGGUAGUUUGACUGGGGCGGUCACCUCCUAAAGAGUAACGGAGGUGUACAAAGGUAAGCUCAAAUUGGAUUUUAAUAUCAAUUGUAGAGCGCAAUGGUAGAAGCUUGCUUGACUGUAAGAUAGACAUAUCAAACAGGGACGAAAGUCGGUCAUAGUGAUCCGAUAAUUCUUUGUGGAAAGAUUAUCGCUCAACGGAUAAAAGGUACUCCGGGGAUAACAGGCUGAUGACUCCUAAGAGCUCCUAUCGACGGAGUCGUUUGGCACCUCGAUGUCGACUCAUCACAUCCUGGAGCUGAAGAAGGUUCCAAGGGUUCGGCUGUUCGCCGAUUAAAGUGGUACGUGAGUUGGGUUUAGAACGUCGUGAGACAGUUUGGUUCCUAUCUUCUAUAGAUAUUUUGAAAAAUGAAAGAAUCUAACUCUAGUACGAGAGGACCGAGAAGGGUAAAUCUCUGGUGUAUCGGUUGUUGUAAGGCAUCGCCGAGUAGCUAAAUUUAUUUUGGAUAAUUACUGAAAGCAUCUAAGUAAGAAGCCAUUCUUAAAAUUUUUUCAAAUGAAAACUGUAAAAGACUAUUACAUCGAUAGGUUUUAAGUGUAAGUAUUGUAAGAUAUUAAGCUUAAAAAUACUAAAAGUUUCAAAUAUAACAUAU
rnacentral:rRNA from 1 species